GACGAACGCUGGCGGCGUGCCUAAUACAUGCAAGUCGAACGCUGAAGGAGGAGCUUGCUCUUCUGGAUGAGUUGCGAACGGGUGAGUAACGCGUAGGUAACCUGCCUGGUAGCGGGGGAUAACUAUUGGAAACGAUAGCUAAUACCGCAUAACAGUAGAUGUUGCAUGACAUUUGCUUAAAAGGUGCAAUUGCACCACUACCAGAUGGACCUGCGUUGUAUUAGCUAGUUGGUGGGGUAACGGCUCACCAAGGCGACGAUACAUAGCCGACCUGAGAGGGGGAUCGGCUACACUGGGACUGAGACACGGCCCAGACGCCUACGGGAGGCAGCAGUAGGGAAUCUUCGGCAAUGGACGGAAGGCUGACCGAGAAACGCCGCGGGAGUGAAGAAGGGUUUCGGAUCGUAAAGCUCUGUUGUAAGAGAAGAACGAGUGUGAGAGUGGAAAGUUCACACUGUGACGGUAGCUUACCAGAAAGGGACGGCUAACUACGUG
rnacentral:rRNA from 1 species